GGCUGCUCCAAGACAACCGCCACGGUAGAAUAAUCGGUGCAAGUUGUUCUGUCUAUCGCGUAUUCCAACCGCUCUUGCCGAGGACACCCAGCGACGGGCGGUCGGACCAACAUCACCUCUCGGUGUGGAGCAACCUCAGCAUGACUCAAUCCCCGACGUCUCGCCGCAGCUUUCAUUUUCUUGGAGUGCAGGAAGGCGGGAAUGAGGAGUGUUUGUCAGGGUUCAAACCAAGGUACAGAGUUAUUCCUCGUUUGUUGGAGGAUCAUCGCCACGUCCAAGCGAGGCAAGGGAGUGCAGGAGGAUCAGCGAUUCUGCGUCAGUGUAGUCUAGCAGUGGUCCAGCUAGACACAGGCAGGGGGAGGGACUGAGGAGAGCACGGUGGAGGAAAAUACUCGUCCUGAAGGAAUUUGUGUGGGAAUGCAGAGAGCUGGGCUGAAAGGAAGACCGCACAAGGUACCUCGACAGCAAUCAGAUCUCAGACACAUGCUCAAGAGGUAAUGCGACGGAGAUGUGCACCGCAGCCACACGGAGCUAUGGGUGUAUGCCCCCAACUUUACCUUUCUUCAGGGGAACUGGGAUGGCUCAGCUGUCAUCCUGCUAUAUACAGGCCACAGAUAGAAGAUAUGGUGUGGGAUCCAUGGCUCAGCCCCACCAGGAACAGACUGCCAGUCCUUUUCCAGUCAUAGUUGGGGUUGGUGCCAACGCCCCUGACGUGCUCCAGCUGCUGCUGUAUGCCAUCCCCACUGGCCAGUACGCCUCUGUAGCUCUCAGUGUUGGUCACCCACACGUAGCAGCCAAACAUGCCUGACCAUAGGCGUCUGGCUCCUAUCAACCUAAUUCCUGUAAAUACUUUGAAUCAAUACUAAGCAUGGAGAAAAGAUGAGACUAACGUUAAGCCUGUUUCCUACAACUAGAUAAAUACAGAAAAGCUUUACUAUUGGACGGUUGCAUCCCAUACAAAAUGUUCGAGUAACGAAUUGUAAAAAAUAGAUUGGUUUUCCGACAAUUGUUGAACAAAAUCUAUUUGCUCCAUUUCUACUCAUUAGGUUUGGAACUUGCCUCGCGUCCAAGAAGUCGUGAGAUACAUGUAAGGUCACGGCGGCUUCUCAGUGUAACAGGUAGCGGUCUUUUCUAACCUUAGCAGAGCUUUAUGAUCUUAGUUAUCCAGCUCAGGGAGAUAAUUAAAAUAAAGAAGUAUCUUCCAGU